ensembl:lncRNA
CGGGGAGAGGGCGACACAUUGUCCCGGCGGGGGGGCGGGGGCGAGGGGCCUGGGCUGCCCCCUUCCCCAAUCCGCUCUUCCUCGGCCCAGGGAUGGUUGCCUGGCUCUUCCACCUUCUCCCCGCACACACCCCGGGAUGCUGUCGGGGGGAAGUUUUUAUUAUGGUUAUUUAUUUAAUUAAAAAAAAAUUUUUUUUGGAAAACCAUCUUGUUUGAUGACUGAGGGAUCUGGUUAAAAAAAAAAGCUGCAGCUGCUGACGCCCGCCGAGCCCGAGUGAGUGUGUGUGUGUGUGUGUGUUGGUGCAUUUGUCUUGGGUGGCCGGAGCAGCGUUGGGGAAAUUCCGCUUAUUCUUCUUCUUCUGCAACUUGUUAUUCCGGAGAGUCUGCCUGCACCCCUCACCCCGGGGCCGGGCCUCCCGCAGUCGCCUGUGCUGCCCGCAGCCCCCGGGGCGCCCCAGGACCCCAGUGCGGGCCGGGGGCUCCCAGGCCGCUCCGAAAGGGGCCACAGCCGCCCCUCCCCCGCCCGCGCCCCCGCCGGGGGGAGGGGCGCGCGGAGUGGGACUCUUUCCGUUUGGUCCAGCCCCGCCGUGCACGCAGUUCCCUACACUUCUCGUCAUCCUCGCUCUCGGGGCUCUUUAUUCUGCUGAGCGGUGCUCUUAGGAUUUCUCUCUCUCUUCUCUCUCCUCUCUCUCUCUCUCUCUCUCUCUCUCUCUCUCUCUCUCUCUCUCUCUUUCUGUCUCUUUUUCCCUGACCACGUUCGCGAUGGUGGGUAGCAGCAGCAAGGUGGCCCUGGCAGGGGAGGGGUUGGUCUCGAGAUUGGGCACCGGGCGGAGAAUGUCUCCUUUUCAACUUUGUCUGUGUGGCUUGAACCCCGGGAGGAGGCCACACGCCGGUUGUGGGUGUAGAGUGAUUUCUAAGUAGUUGAGUUGUUGAGAUGAGGGUAAGGACUGCUAAAUGGUAGGCAGGUUUUGUUUUCAUUGGUGAAUCCGGUGUCAUCAUAUUCCGGUCAUAUGUUGAAAUAUUCUUUGUUUAGGUCUUGAAGUAGAGGAUCUCACACUGCACGUCCACAUUGUGUUGUUUUUAAAUGAAGUCUAGGAGUAUGGGUUUCUAGAAUUUCGGAUGUGAGUGAAGGUCCGGACGUGUGUGGGCCUCAGCUCUGGCCUUGACAGUGAACUUUGUGGCUGUGUUUCGGAUUUCAAAGAUUUGCCCCAUAGCUGGGUUGCUAGUGGAGUCGUGCAUUUUUCUGAAUGGUAGGUGUCAGGAAUAUAGAUGCUUGGGGAAGUUAGAGAGGGAAGAACAUUUGUAUAUUAAUAAUUGAUAGCUGAAUAUUAGAAUCAGAUUAAUUUGGGCUGAUGAAAGUUGUGUUUUUUUUUUUUCAAAACAGUUGUGCACUCUAGGAAGAAAGGCUUUUCAUAGGCAUACUUUGUAAGGGGUUCCUUAAGUCGAGGAGCUCAGAUAUAGCCUUUCAGAGAGGCUACUCAUCAACACCAACAUCUGCAGCUUUAUUGAGGUAAAGGGGACCGAAACUGAGGCUGAGAUGUGUAAGCAUGCUUUUCAGUGCUUAUGCUGUUUGUUUACAUUUGCUGUUCACUCACGUUUGGGCAGUAGAAAUAAAUAGGUCAGCUUUUCUUCGGUUUUUGAAAGCUAGUCCCCUCUCUUUUUUCAGUUUCACAAUUUACUUGGUUUACAGCCUUGUAGGAAACCAUUACUACAUUUUUACUGGAAAUACUAUUAUUCAUGUUAAUUUCGGUAAGUUCUUUCUUUUUCUCUUCUUAAGUCUUCACUUGUGUGUGAAAUCUGUGUCGUGGGCUUAACACUGGCUUAUUAGGAGCCAUGUAAAAUGUCUGAAGAAUGCAUUUUAAAAUACCGGAAUGUAGCUUUUGAUGGCAAAGAGGAAAUUUUUGUGCACAAUUUACACUCAUUUUUUUUUUAAUUUGUGCUUAAGACUUUUGUAAAUGUGCAACUAUCUUUAAGUGAAGAACAUAGUAAUAAUGCAGGAAAUUCUUAAAACACAAAUAUUAAUAUUUUAGGUGCUUUUUUAAAAUCAGACUUUUGCUUUAGAUAACGUAUUUACAGCUUGACUGGCAUUGUGGGCUGCCCAUAAUAAAGUCUUUUGCUUGAGUGCUUUUGAAGGCAUUGUAAGUAAGUUUUUAGAUAGUUUUGCAAGGUUUAUUAUAAAGAAUGUUGCACUUGAGACUCAGGCAAGUCUAUGGAACUGGAAUACUGUAGUAAUAGAUUAAAAAGACACCUGUCUGUACUGUAAUUUAUUUUUAAGAGGUAUACAUGAUGGAUGGGCACUUUUCGCUUUGAAGGGCCCUUCCUUGUUCCAUUCAAUUACCUGAGAGGGGGAGCUGCCUCACAAAUACUCAUCUUCUGCUUACAUGGACAUCUCUAAAUGGUAAUCCAGCAGGAGGUGCUACAGCAAGACAAAGGACAUUUUUGAAUUUUGAGGGUCUUGCCACUUACUGAAACUACUUAGCUUCAGCUAAGCAACAGGAUUAACACCUUAAAGUUCUAGAAAAAAUUUGAGUAAGUCCAUUAAAGAGUAACAUUAAUAAAUUACUUUUGCUUUUUACUUGCUUAUGAUACUCUGCAAAGUUGAUUUUUUAUUGCAGAUAGCUUAAGGAUGCUGGGGUUAGGUGUAGAAGGCUGUUAAGAGUUAUUUUCUUUUGAGAAAGGAGUUAGUCUUGUAUUGCUGAAGUGGGGUGUUGAACACAUAUUUUUAAAAAAUGUGCAGUUGCAGUAAACUGAACUAGUUGGUAUGAUGUGAGACUUUAAGCUUUGUGGUUAUCCCUGUAAUAUUAAUACACAUAGGAUAUAGAGUAGUUGAAAGUUUGGCAAGAGAACUCUUGUGUGGAAAAACUUUACACUUUUUUGGGAGGGUCUUCUUCCCUCAUCCCCCGAAUCUAUGGUCUUCUUAAGGCAGUCAGUUUUAUAAAUACAUGUGAUUAAUAUAUUUUGUUUGGCCUCCAAAGACUGAGAUUCUUGAACUAUAAGUAAAGUUAUAUCUGUAGAUACAGAUCAUUGCUGAUAUGUCCGUCCAUUAGUAACACUUAGCGAUAACUGCAUAAAGAUAAAAGUAUUUUAACAGUUUCAUACCAUAUAUGCACAUGGUCCUUUGAAACUGUUAGUAUUAGGUGAGUUGAUUAUUAUUGGACAUAUUAUGCUACUGUGGCUGCUUGUGAAGUUUUAUAUCAAAGUUUUAAAGACUUAGAAAUGUAUGGAAAAUUUGAUGAACCUGCUUUAAAUUUUGUGCCUCUGAUAGGCAUAAUACUGUACUUUUCUCUCAGUAAAAUCUUAUUAGGUAAUACAUGUGAAAGUUCUUUGUAAAUUGCUAGACCCAUGCAAAUAUUAAGUUGUUGAGCUAGAUAACCAAUUAAUACAUGAACAGAGCUUCUGUCUUAAAAUGCUAACUCUUUUCAUAUCAGUUGGAAAAUUAAUGCGUUGAAAGUGCACCCUGGACAUCUCAUGAAUUUUUUUUUCUUUUUUUUUUUUGGUACCGGGAAUCGAACUCUGGACCUUGCGCUUGCGAGCCAGGCGGUGGAACCACUGAGCUAAAUCCCUAGCCCAAUUUUUGUUUUUUAAAUACUGCUGUGGUUACCAAAAAUCUCUUUGUUACAGUUUUGAAGCUUUGUUUAAAAAAUGCUGCUUAGGCAGUUUCCCAUAAUUCAAAUAUUAUUUUUCCUUUUGAAGAUCUUGUGAAACGUAUGUCCACUAUUAAAGUUUUUCUUCCCUUCUCCAUUGAUGUGAUAGUAGUUGAUUGUAGUGAAUAUUUAAGUUCCUGGACUAUUCUGUAGACUCUUACUAAUACAUGGAGUUAACAGAUGCCAGGGCUAAAGUUGUGAUUAUUUUGAUUGACUCUGCUAACUUUAUGAAAAAAUUCUUACGGACUAAAGCUUUCAAGUUUGUUUCAUGGUGAAAAUAUGUACAUCUGUAUGCAUUAGUAUUAGGUAGAUGUGUAUAUCAUUUUUGUUUUCUAUUUUAGAAGGAUGCAUGAGGAAAUGACUACUCAAAUCUAGAGGAGUACACUGAAAUAUUUUUGUGUAAAAAUAACCCCAAAGUUUAAAGUCUUAAGUUGUGGCUCUCUUCAUGACUCUGCUCACAAAUUUGGAAUAGAAAAUUAAAAACAGCAACAAAAAGCACCCCAUUAAAUUGAUAAUCGUUGUGUUUGUGAAUAUCUAGUAUCUUAAAUCUUAUAAGUGACUGUACUUUAUGAAAUAGCCUCAGUUAGAAAGUAAAUACAGAAACUUGAUUCUAUGAAGGGUGAGAAAAACAUUUAACUGUUUAGACAAAAAUGAAACCUCGGGGUGAUGCUGACUUUUUAUGCCAUAGACAGUGAAUACUAAAGGUUUUUGUGAAGAAAUAUGAAGUUGAAGUUAUAUUAAUGCACUUUUAAAUUUUGUAUCCUUAGUAUUGUAUUGUGGAGGGCUUUUGUAUUUAAUUACUAUUCAGAAAGAGAAUAGAAGAGAUUAAAGUUUUAGGUCUCUGAACUUUGACAGAAUUCCUUUACAUUUAUAAUCAGAAGUGAUUUCUUGAAACGUUUGAAUUUUCAUAUUAUUUUGUGCUCGGAAAUAUUAAUAAUUUAUGUUGACUUCUCAGGAAUUUUUAUACAUGGACUUUUUCAAUAGGCCUAAGUAUUCUAUUUAGGAGCAUAGCAAUACAUUUUGAUCACAUUAACUUUACCAGGUGAAUAUUUUUGCUGCUUUGAAUUUUUUUAAAGCAGUAAUAUGUAAAUUGCAUUACAUUUAUUGUAGAUUAUUAUUUCCUAAAGAGCAUGUGUUUUCUUCUUUGUAUGUUUGUGUGUGUGUGUGUAUAUAUAUAUAUAUGGCCAUACCUUUUUGUAGGCUUUCAUAUAAUUCUUAUGAAUUGAUGUAUUAAAUUUUUGAAUACUGACCUUUUUUUGAGAAGGUGGAAUAAACUUUAAAGAAUAACUUUACUAUUACUUGACUACCUAUUCAUCUUACUCUGGGGUAGUGGUGAGCUCUUCCCUUGUAGAGAUUGUCUGUGAGGUUCAGUUGUCCUUGGGGCUUUUGUUUUAAAGCAACUUUCUUACCCUAGAGUCUUGGAUAGCAUUUUGUUUUUUGGGUUUUUGGGGGGUAUUUUUGGUACCGGGGAUUGAGGGUCCUUGCGCUUGCGCACCAGCCGGCGAAACCACUGAGCUAAAUCCCCGGCCCUCUUGGAUAGCAUUUUGAAUACUGGGCUACUUCUUCCCCUCUAACACUCUACAAGUCUCUCCUACCUUUUUAAAAAAAAUAAAAAGAGUUUGUGAGCAGACUCAGUUGAAGGAAACUUCUUUCUCAUAUCUUAGAAUCAGUCAUGGAAAUGUUUUCUGUUUUUUAAAGUAGGACCUAUAGGGCCCAGGAGAUUGAGGCCAACCUGGACAACAUAGACCCUGUCUCAACAAAACAGUACACAAUAAAAUAAAAGUAAACAAGAAAGUGAACCAGUAAUGUGGAGUUAGGAAGGGAAUGAGAUCUAGUAGGUUGCUGAUCUGGGCUUUAUUUUGACUUGGUUUGUGGGCCUGGGGGAAAAACAUAACUUAAACACAGAAGCCAAAAAGAUGGGUUUUGUUUUAUUGUUUUGGCUGCAUUGAGAAUACAAACUGUCAGUACUUGAAGAGAAGGAGCAGCAGAAAGGAAUUGAUUUUUUUCUGCUGCAGAUCCAAGUAUUGUUAACCAUGUGGAUCUCUAAAGCGACAUACUUACAAAUCAAACAGUAGUUGAUUCUUUCACUCAAUUAACAGUCAGAACCCAAACCUGCUUUUUUUUUUUUUAAUGAGUAUCCAAAACUUAAGGAUAAUGACAAUAAUUUCCUGAUAAAAGUGGGUGAGAGUAACCAUGGCAACUGCUAUCUCUGGCCUUAUGGACAGUAUGUUGUAUUGAUGAAGCUUCAGAUCCUUUAGUAGCCUGUCACUUUUAUGGUGAAAUGUAGUAGCAUGUGUUGCAGGUGAUUUUUAGCUGGGUUAUGUUAAAUUUGUGUGCCAGCUUAUCUUUCCUUGUUAGGAAUUUCUUGGACUAUAUUCCACAGCAUGUUUGUGAAGGUGCUGUUGCCUGAAAAUAACCCACCACCUGUGUUAGGCCUCCUAAUGCAGAUUGCACUUAGUUCUUUCCCAGCCUCCUUUCAAGAGUCUUGCAGAAAACAGAGGUGUGUGUAGGAACUGAAAUGUACAUAAAUUACAGCUCAAACUUAUCAGCUUGGCUUUGGACAUGUUAUUAAUAGCUUAGAACUCUUUUGGUGUUUUCAGAAGAGGUUACUGAAUGAAAGAGGCCUGUAGAUGGAAAAUUUUUUCUGUAAGUGUUCUUUCCAGAAGCAAGUGUGUGUCCAUGUGUAGGGAAUUAACCUUGAAGAGUGAAGGUAUAAAUAUUAAGGAUUUGAUAGACGAGAAUCUUCAGUAUUCUUUCUUUGGUGCUUGUGUGUGUAUGUAUUACUAUAAGAAUAUAUUUCCUAGUGGGCAGUAUUAGAGAAUGGGAAGUAUUUGCUUGUGAGAAUUUUCAUCAAGAAAAAUUAGAAAAUAUAUCUUGGCUAACUGUUAAAAGAAGACCUGGUUAAAACUUUUUUGCGGGGG